UUUUCUUCGCCUUUCGAGUAGGGACCUGAGCCAGAGGGAAGGAACAACAAACAACAAGAGCGAUGAAAGUGAAUAAAGCUGAGCAGGAAUCGUCGACCCCCGGCAGCGCGAUGACAGGCAAAGGUGGAGGGGGCUGGCCGAGCGCGGCACUGGAAGGCUGCUGACUGGAAAAGAACUCCACGCGGCCAGGGAUGAAGCGCGCCCAGGUCCUCUGCGCUGCCAGCGCACGACUGCCCAGCUCGGCCACCCGGGGGGCGAUGAGCCAGGACGCGGCGGUGAAGCCCAGGACCAACCCCAGAGCCACGCUCACCCACGGGCGGCGGGAGCGCACGGCCAUCGCGGCAGCCCAGGGCUCGAACGCAGGCUGGGCGGUGUGGGAG